rnacentral:rRNA from 1 species
GACGAACCGUGCGAACGUUGUUCGGAAUCACUGGGCAUAAAGGGCGCGUAGGCGGCUUAUCAAGUCAGGGGUGAAAUCCGGCAGCUCAACUGUCGAAGUGCCUUUGAUACUGAUGAGCUAGAGGGAGAUAGGGGUAUGCGGAACUUCCGGUGGAGCGGUGAAAUGCGUUGAUAUCGGAAGGAACGCCGGUGGCGAAAGCGGCGUACUGGAUCUCGUUCUGACGCUGAGGCGCGAAAGCUAGGGGAGCAAACGGG